UUAAAUAUGAGACAGGCACCACCAUCUCUGUAGGUAACAGAGAUGGUGGUGCCUGUCUCAUAUUUAA